UCUUAUAGAUGAGCAAAGAAAGUGGUUUCUUGAGACGGAAGCUACUUCUGGUAAAGAUGCUGUGAA
rnacentral:pre_miRNA from 1 species